rnacentral:ncRNA from 2 species
UACACACGACAGGGGAGCGUCGCCCCGACGCACGGCACAGGGCCGGGCGGCAAGGCGAAGGACGCUGAGAGUGCGGGAUACCGCAGACCCUCGAACCUGCUCCGGCUAGUACCGGCGAAGGGAGUCGAGCAUCUCAAGGC